rnacentral:misc_RNA from 1 species
GAUGAAGAACGUAGCGAAAUGCGAUACGUAAUGUGAAUUGCAGAAUUCAGUGAAUCAUCGAGUCUUUGAACGCACAUUGCGCCCCCUGGUAUUCCGAGGGGCAUGCCUGUUCGAGCGUCAUUAUAACCCCUCAAGCUCAGCUUGGUGUUGGGGCCUGCUGCACUGGCAGCCCUUAAAAUCAGUGGCGGCGCCAUCUGGCUCUAAGCGUAGUAAUUCUUCUCGCUAUGGAGUCCUGGUGGAUGCUUGCCAUCAACCCCCAAUUUUUCUAUGGUUGACCUCGGAUCAGGUAGGGAUACCCGCUGAACUUAAGCAUAUCAAUAAGCGGAGGA